rnacentral:rRNA from 1 species
CCUAUGGGAGGCAGCAGUGAGGAAUAUUGGUCAAUGGACGCGAGUCUGAACCAGCCAAGUAGCGUGAAGGAUGACUGCUUUAUGGGUUGUAACUUCCUUUUAUAUGGGAAUAAAAUGUUCCAUGCGUGGUAUAUAGUAUGUGCCUUACGAAUAAGCAUCGGCUAACUCCGUGCCAGCAGCCGCGGUAAUAUGCAGGUUCCGAGCGUGAUCCGGAUUUACUGGUUUAAAGGGGAGCGUAGGGGGAUUAUCAGGUCAGUGGGAAAAUCGCGGGGUUAAACUCCAUAUUGCCUUUGAAACUGAUGAUCUUGAGUACGCGAGAGGUAAGCGGAAUGCGUGGUGUAGCGGUGAAAUGCGUAGAUAUAACGCAGAACACCAGUUGCGAAGGCGGCUUACCGG